CCUACGGGAGGCAGCAGUGGGGAAUAUUGGGCAAUGGAGGAAACUCUGACCCAGCAACGCCGCGUGAAUGAUGAAGGUCUUCGGAUUGUAAAGUUCUUUUCUAAGGGAAGAAGAAAGUGACGGUACCUUAGGAAUAAGCCUCGGCUAACUACGUGCCAGCAGUCGCGGUAAUCCGUAGGAGGCGAGCGUUAUCCGGAAGGACUGGGCGUAAAGGGUGCGUAGGUGGUUGGGCAAGUUAGUAGCUUAACUCCAGGGCUGAACCUUGGAACUACUACUAAAACUGUUGGACUUGAGUGCGGGAGAGGCAAGCGGAAUGCGUGGUGUAGCGGUGGAAUGCGUAGAUAUUAGGAGGAACACCGGUGGCGAAGGCGGGUUGCUGGACUGUAACUGACACUGAGGCACGAAAGCGUGGGGAGCGAACAGGAGUAGAUACCCGAGUAGUC
rnacentral:rRNA from 1 species